rnacentral:misc_RNA from 1 species
UGGACACAGACAUUUACAUAAAUAAGCAAACACAAACAUAGACAAGAACAAAGACAAACACAAACAUAAACAUAGAUAGAUAGACAUAGAUAGAUACAAAAACAAAGGUGCAUAGAUGUAAACAAAAAACAUAUAUGCAAGACAGAAACAUAUGCAAACAAACAUGGAUGUAGAUAGAGAUAGGCACAAAUGUAGACAUGCAUAAAGAUCAAUACAGACACAAA